ensembl:misc_RNA Metazoa_SRP Metazoan signal recognition particle RNA
GCCGGGUGCGGUGGCGCGCGCCUGUAAUCCAAGCUACCGGGAGGCUGAGGCUGGCGGAUCGUUUGAGCUCAGGAGCUCUGAGCUGCAGCGGACUAUGCCGAUCGGGUGUCCGCACUAAGUUCGGCAUCGAUAUGGUGCUCCUGGGGGAGCUCGGGACCACCAGGUCGCCUAAGGAGGGGUGCACCGGCCCAGGUCGGAAACGAAGCAGGUCAAAGCCCCCGUGCCGCUCAGUAGUGGGAUCGCGCCUGUGAAUAGACGCUGUAGUGCAGCCUGAGUAAUACAGCGGGACCCAGUCUUUU